GGGCAAUUAGCUCAGUGGCAGAGCACUUGUAUCACACACAAGGGGUCACUGGUUCGAAUCCAGUAUUGCCCACCA
rnacentral:tRNA from 1 species